UGGGCUAUCGCCAAGUGGUAAGGCACAGGACUUUGACUCCUGCAUUCGUUGGUUCAAAUCCAACUAGCCCAG
rnacentral:tRNA from 2 species